GACGAACGCUGGCGGCGUGCUUAACACAUGCAAGUCGAACGGAAAGGCCCUGCUUUUGUGGGGUGCUCGAGUGGCGAACGGGUGAGUAACACGUGAGUAACCUGCCCUUGACUUUGGGAUAACUUCAGGAAACUGGGGCUAAUACCGGAUAGGAGCUCCUGCUGCAUGGUGGGGGUUGGAAAGUUUCGGCGGUUGGGGAUGGACUCGCGGCUUAUCAGCUUGUUGGUGGGGUAGUGGCUUACCAAGGCUUUGACGGGUAGCCGGCCUGAGAGGGUGACCGGCCACAUUGGGACUGAGAUACGGCCCAGACUCCUACGGGAGGCAGCAGUGGGGAAUAUUGCACAAUAGGCGGAAGCCUGAUGCAGCAACGCCGCGUGCGGGAUGACGGCCUUCGGGUUGUAAACCGCUUUCGCCUGAGACGAAGCGUGAGUGACGGUAAUGGGUAAGGAAGCACCGGCUAACUACGUG
rnacentral:rRNA from 1 species